AUUGCAUGUUAUGGGCAUUUUCUAAGUUGUUCCUUAAAUCUCUCCCAAGCUGCAUACAAGGAUUCACUUUUGAAUUGUGUGAAUGAGGUUAUAUCAUUCCUCAUCUU
rnacentral:snoRNA from 1 species